CCUACGGGUGGCAGCAGUGAGGAAUAUUGGUCAAUGGGCGAGAGCCUGAACCAGCCAAGUCGCGUGAGGGAGUACUGCCCUAUGGGUUGUAAACCUCUUUUGUCGGGGAGCAAAAGCCGGACGUGUCCGGCUGUGAGAGUACCCGCAGAAAACGCAUCGGCUAACUCCGUGCCAGCAGCCGCGGUAAUACGGAAGGCCCGAGCGUUAUCCGGAUUCAUUGGGCUUAAAGGGAGCGUAGGCGGGCGUUCACGUCAGCUGUAAACUCGCGCGGCUCAACCGCGCCCCGCAGUUGAAACUGGAAGCCUUGAGUUCACAACAGGCAGGCGGAAUUCGUGGUGUAGCGGUGAAAUGCAUAGAUAUCACGAGGAACCCCGAUUGCGAAGGCAGCCUGCCGGGGUGCGACUGACGCUGAGGCUCGAAGGUGCGGGUAUCAAACAGGAUUAGAUACCCCAGUAGUC
rnacentral:rRNA from 1 species